GAACUACCUUUCCCGGCUUGCUGUGCGCCCGGAGUAGGUGAGGGGUGGUGUGCGUGCCUGCCUCCCGGGGUCACACGACUGCUGGGAAGUGAUGUCCGCUUCCUGCCCUCUCUUUGUGGCUGAGGGCAUAGAGGAAGCCCGUAAACAAACUACAAGUCCCAGAAGGCGGUGCGUCCGGAGUCAGGACUAGGCUGGGGCCGAGCCGCCGGGCUCGCGGAGGCGGUGGCGGUGGCGGCGGCUGCUGCUGCUAAGGCUAAAGGAGCCGGGCCGGGCCCGCGGCGGAGGCCGUGGCUGGAACUGGGAAGGUGGCGGGGAGGAACGCGGGAGUAAGAUGGCGACGUCAGGGGCAAACGGGCCGGGUUCCGCCACAGCCUCAGCGUCUAACCCACGAAAGUUUAGUGAGAAGAUUGCGCUUCAGAAGCAACGUCAGGCCGAGGAGACGGCGGCCUUCGAGGAGGUGAUGAUGGACAUCGGCUCCACACGGUUACAGGCCCAAAAACUGCGACUGGCUUAUACAAGGAGCUCCCAUUAUGGUGGUUCUCUGCCCAAUGUUAACCAGAUUGGCUGUGGCCUGGCUGAGUUCCAGAGCCCCCUUCAUUCACCUUUGGAUUCAUCUCGGAGCACUCGGCACCAUGGGUUGGUGGAACGGGUACAACGAGAUCCCCGCAGAAUGGUGUCCCCACUCCGCCGAUACCCCCGCCACAUUGACAGUUCUCCCUAUAGCCCUGCCUACUUAUCUCCUCCCCCAGAGUCUGGCUGGCGAAGGAUGAUGCCCUGGGGCAACCUCCCAGCUGAGAAGGGGCAGUUGUUUAGACUGCCAUCUGCACUUAACAGGACAAGCUCUGACUCUGCUCUUCACACAAGUGUGAUGAACCCUAACCCCCAAGACACUUAUCCAGGCCCCACACCUCCUAGUAUCCUGCCCAGCCGCAGAGGAGGUUUUCUGGAUGGUGAGAUGGAUGCUAAAGUCUUUCUCUUUCAAGUCCCUGCUAUUGAGGAGAACUUGGUAGAUGACAAGCAUUUGCUGAAACCUUGGGAUGCUAAGAAGCUGUCCUCAUCUUCCUCUCGACCUCGAUCCUGUGAAGUCCCUGGAAUCAACAUCUUUCCAUCUCCUGACCAGCCUGCUAAUGUGCCUGUCCUCCCACCUGCCAUGAAUACAGGGGGUUCCCUACCUGACCUCACCAACCUACACUUCCCCCCUCCACUGCCCACACCCCUGGACCCUGAGGAAACAGUCUAUCCCAGCCUGAGUGGAGGCAACAGUACCACCAAUUUGACCCACACUAUGACCCAUUUGGGCAUCAGUGGAGGUCUGGGCUUGGGUCCCAGCUAUGAUAUACCAGGACUUCACUCACCUCUUAGCCACCCAUCCCUGCAGUCCUCCCUAAGCAAUCCCAACCUCCAGGCUUCCCUUAGCAGUCCUCAACCCCAGCUCCAGGGCUCCCAUAGUCACCCAUCACUGCCUGCCUCCUCCUUGGCCCACCAUGCACUGCCCACCACCUCCCUGGGCCACCCAUCACUUAGUGCCCCAGCCCUUUCCUCCUCCUCUUCCUCUUCAUCCACUUCAUCUCCUGUCCUGAGCGGCCCCCCUUACCCAGCUUCUACUCCUGGGGCCUCUCCCCGCCACCGUCGUGUGCCCCUCAGCCCCCUGAGCUUGCCCGCGGGCCCAGCCGACGCCAGAAGGUCCCAACAGCAGCUGCCCAAACAGUUUUCGCCAACAAUGUCACCCACCUUGUCUUCCAUCACUCAGGGCGUCCCCUUGGAUACCAGUAAACUGCCUACUGACCAGCGAUUGCCCCCAUACCCAUAUAGCCCCCCAAGUCUAGUUAUACCCACCCAUCCACCUACCCCGAAGUCUCUACAGCAGUUGCCCUCUCAGGCCUGCUUAGUGCAGCCCUCAGGUGGACAGCCUCCAGGCAGGCAGCCACAUUAUGGGGCACUGUACCCACCUGGGUCCAGUGGACAUGGGCAACAGCCUUACCAUCGCCCAAUAAAUGACUUCAGCUUGGGGAAUCUUGCUCUUUGAUGACUCCUGCCUUGACCCGUUCUCUUCCUGGCAUGCACAUGCUCUGGCACAGCAGCUGGAGCAGUUCAACAUGGAGAGCCCCUCAACCAGCCUGGUGCUGGAUCCCCCUGCCUUUUCAGAAGGUCCUGGAUUUUUAGGGAAUGAGGGAUCAAUGAGUGGCCCCCAGGACCCUCACGUCCUCAACCACCAGAACUUGACCCACUGUUCCCGCCAUGGCUCAGGACCUAAUAUCAUACUCACAGGAGACUCUUCCCCAGGCUUUUCUAAGGAGAUUGCAGCAGCCCUGGCUGGAGUGCCUGGCUUUGAGGUGUCAGCAUCUGGGUUGGAGCUGGGACUGGGGCUGGAAGAUGAGCUGCGCAUGGAGCCACUGGGCCUGGAAGGACUAACCAUGCUGAGUGACCCCUGUGCCCUGCUGCCAGACCCUGCUGUGGAGGAUUCAUUCCGUAGUGAUCGGCUACAGUGAGGGGACCUUACUGCCGUCCUUCUUCAUGGCCCUGUCCCAUCACUGUCUUUUCAUCCCUUCCCCCUGGCCAGUAGAGACUACUCUCUGCCCCCAGAUCCUUUUUCUAAUAUGAAUGAAGGAUCCUAAAACUGAGGAAAGGGAAGGGGCUUGGCCAGGUGGCCCUGAAUGUUGUACAUCUGGUGGGCUUUGGGGCGAGUUCAAGGGAGGGCCCAAAAGCACUUGUAACUUUGAAAAUCGUCUGUCUGGAGCUCAGAGCCUGUUGGAAAGCAAGGUGUAGGGGAAUCUUGGAGAGGGCUUGUCCAGAAAGGGAUGGGCAUUACCAGCCCUUCCCUAUUUCUCUUCCCCUUGCAAUGGAAGAGAGAGCCAGAGUGGAUAUUAUUUUUUAUUAAAUAUAUUAUAUGUUAAUAAAAAAUCCUAUUGAA